GAUGAACGUUGGCGGUGUGCCUAAUACAUGCAAGUCGAACGGAGACUGUAGCAAUACUGUCUUAGUGGCGAACGGGUGAGUAACGCGUUGGUGAUCUGCCUCGAAGUGUGGAAUAACCUCCCGAAAGGGAAGCUAAUACCGCAUAGUCUCUCAAGGUUUAGAAAAUUGAGAGUAAAGGAUUUAUUCGCUUCGAGAGGAGCCUGCGUCCCAUCAGCUAGUUGGUAGGGUAACGGCCUACCAAGGCAAUGACGGGUAGGGGACCUGAGAGGGUCGGCCCCCCACAAUGGAACUGAAACACGGUCCAUACACCUACGGGUGGCAGCAGUAGGGAAUAUUAGAAAUGGGCGGAAGCCUGAUCUAGCAACACCGCGUGUGCGAUGAAGGCCUUCGGGUCGUAAAGCUACUUUUUGGAGGGAAUAGGAAGGAAGGUACCUCCAGAAUAAGUCUCGGCUAACUACGUG
rnacentral:rRNA from 1 species